rnacentral:tRNA from 1 species
GCGCCCAUAGCUCAACGGAUAGAGCGUAAGCUUGCGGAGCUUAAAGUCGAGGUUCGAUUCCUCGUGGGCGCG